rnacentral:lncRNA from 1 species
GCAGUUUUAACACGAUUAAAUCAUCACAAAUCAAGAAUACUCAUCAAAACCUAACAAUUUCAAACAACCAUACAAAAUUAGGGAUUUUAACAUAACAUACUUCUACCCAUUGACCCAAUCAUACUAACCCAUAAUAAUAAGGAUUCCCCCCGUACCUCUUCGAUUUUCUGAAAACCCUAACUCCUCUCUUGUUCUUCCCCUCUUUUCCUUACUUUUCCU